AAACUUUCAACAACGGAUCUCUUGGCUCUGGCAUCGAUGAAGAACGCAGCGAAAUGCGAUACGUAAUGUGAAUUGCAGAAUUCAGUGAAUCAUCGAAUCUUUGAACGCACAUUGCGCCCGCCAGCAUUCUGGCGGGCAUGCCUGUCCGAGCGUCAUUU
rnacentral:rRNA from 1 species